UACGCAGUUCAAGUAAAAAUGGUGGUCGACAUGGAAUUGCAGGAAGCAAAGGAUUACGUUCUUCAGCUUAUGAAGGAUAAGGAUAAAAUUGAAUCAGAUUUAAAAGCUUUGAAAGAGAUUUUAGAUACUAAUCAUGUCGGCAUGGAUGAUCAGCUGGUGGACUCUGAAGGGUAUCCACGAACUGAUAUUGAUGUUUAUCAAGUCAGGCAUACAAGACAUAAGAUAAUAUGUCUCAGAAAUGAUCAUAAAGCAUUGAUGAAUAAGAUAGAAGAAGGUUUGCACAAAGUACAUGCACUAGCAGGAAAUCAAGUGGAGAGUUCUCCUGCGAGUACAAGUAAUGCUGAAGAAAAUACAAAAUGUGAACCCUUUCUGAGAGUAAAUCUGGUAUCUGCAGGUUCUCCAGCUGAGAUAGCAGGAAUUCAAGUUGAAGACCUAAUAUUAGAAUUUGGUUCUAUUGAUUGUCGAAAUUUUAAAUCAUUAAAAGAUAUUGGGACCUUGGUACAAAACAGUAGAUACAAGACUAUUAAUGUAAAAAUUAAACGUGGAUCUAAUGUUAUAGUCUUAGCUUUAAUUCCACGUCCUUGGCUUGGCAACGGCCUUCUAGGCUGCAAUGUAAUACCCAUAGAGGCAGUUGAAAGAUAAAAUACUUACCUUGAAAUUCAAUACACAUAAUCUAUUGGUACAAGUUCAUUCUUGGGUAUUUAAAGGCACAGAGUUAAUUCAGGCUCAGACAUCUCUCAGGAAGUAAUAGCAAAGGAACACAGAAGCAGGAUGCAUCUCCCACUGAUUGCAAUAUUAAGUUUAGUCAUUUCUAUAUCUCAAGUUUCAAGUGAAGUUAAUAGUUAUGAGUACUCUGACCAAUAUCCAUGGCCACUUGUUUAUACCAUAUAUCCAUUUUACAAUUCUGAAACAUUUCUUGAAGUAUGGAGAACUGCUAAAACUGUUGACAUUUCUACUGAUAUAGUAACUGCAGCUCCAAAUGACCAAGAGCAAACAGUUUUAUAUACUAAUGAUGUCCAUAAUAACAAUACAAAUUUGAACUUCCAAAAUAAUUUACCUUAUUAUGUGAAUGAGAUAAAAAAUGCAAAUGAAGGACAAACAUCUAAAAACAGACAGCGACUUUCUAAUUAUAGAAAUAGACAUAAAGAUACAAAUGUUCAGAACGAAUAAGCGGCCAAUGUGUGGAAUUCAAACGGAAUAAUGAUCUACAGGGACUGUUUACUUAUGGCAAAAUAUAGUUAAGGUCUAGAAUUGUUAUACUGCGAACUGAAUUAUCAAACUUACGCUUGUAGCAAAUAGCAUUAAAAUAUUUUAUGAUUAAAAUGAGCUUAUAGAAAGCAUUAAAAUAG